CCUACGUGAGGCAGCAGUGAGGAAUAUUGGUCAAUGGUCGGGAGACUGAACCAGCCAAGCCGCGUGAGGGAGGAAGGUACAGAGUAUCGUAAAACUCUUUUGUCAGGGAACAAAGGCGGGGACGUUUCCCCGGAUGAGUGUACCUGAAGAAAAAGCAUCGGCUAACUCCGUGCCAGGAGCCGCGGUAAUACGUCGGUUGCAAGCGUUAUCCGGCUUUACUGGGUGUAAAGGGCGUGUAGGCGGGACUGCAAGUCAGAUGGGAAAACCACGGGCUCAACCUGUGGCCUGCACUUGAAACCGUAGUUCUUGAGUACUGGAGAGGCAGACGGAAUGCCUAGUGUAGCGGUGAAAUGCGUAGAUAUUAGGAGGAACACCAGUGGCGAAGGCGGUCUGCUGGACAGCAACUGACGCUGAGGCGCGAAAGCGUGGGGAGCAAACAGGAUUAGAUACCCUAGUAGUC
rnacentral:rRNA from 1 species